GCAUUCGCUUCACCCACAGGAAGCCAGACCUUCAGCGAAGACCUUUGUGCACAGUCAUGCUUCCUGAUAAAUAUCAGAAACCAGGGUCUUUCUGUGAGCUCUUGCUUCAACCUCAGGGUUUCCUGAUCACAAUAGAUCAUGUGCUCAGGAACACGUGCACAGACUGCAGCCGCCCAGAAGUAAAGAUGAACAUGGAGCGUUACCACAAAUAAGGACUCUGAGGCUUUCUUCAGUCUUGGAGCCAGGCUCAAACCCGCUGUGGGCCACCAGG
rnacentral:lncRNA from 1 species